AGAGGGUGAGAGUCCCGUAGUCGAAUGUGUUCCGCCGCUGUUGGGGGGGUUGCCCGAGUAGCACGGGGCCCGAGGAAUCCCGUGUGAAUCUGCCAGGCCACCUGGUAAGCCUGAAUACUACCUGUUGACCGAUAGCGGAUCAGUACCGUGAGGGGAAUGGUGAAAAGUACCCCGGGAGGGGAGUGAAAUAGUACCUGAAACCAUGUGCCUACAAACCGUUGGAGCCUUCUUGUGGGGGUGACAGCGUGCCUUUUUGAAGAAUGAGCCUGCGAGUUAGUGAUACGUGGCGAGGUUAACCCGUGUGGGGGAAGCCGUAGCGAAAAGCGAGUCUGAAUAGGGGCGAUUUGAGUCGCGUGCCUAGACCCCGAAGCGGAGUGAUCUACCCCAUGGCCCAGGGUUUGAAAGCGCGUGUAAAGAGCGCGUGGGAGGGACCCGAAACCCCACUUUCAGUUUGAAAAAAUGGGAGGGGGGGAUGAGCUGUGGGGGUAGGGGGGGUGAAAAAGGGCCCAAUCAAAACUCCCGUGAUAGCUGGGUUUCUCCCCCCGAAAAUGCAUUUUAGGGUGCAGCGUCACGUGUUUUCUUCCCCGGAGGUAGAGCUACUGGAUGGACGAUGGGCCCUACAAGGUUACUGACUUCAGCCAAACUCCGAAUGCCGGGAAGUGAGAGCGUGGCAGUGAGACUGUGGGGGAUAAGCUUCAUAGU
rnacentral:rRNA from 1 species